rnacentral:tRNA from 1 species
GGCCACCCUAGCUCAGCUGGUAGAGCAACNNCGUCACUGAUAAUGACGAGGUCCGAGGUUCGACUCCUCGUGUGCCCACCA